rnacentral:rRNA from 1 species
UACGGGGGGUGCGAGCGUUGCUCGGAAUUAUUGGGCGUAAAGCGUACGCAGGCUGCUCUACAAGUCGAGUGUGAAAACCCGGGGCUCAACCCCGGACUGGCAUUCGAAACUGUCGGGCUUGAGUGCGGGAGAGGGAAGCGGAAUUCCUGGUGUAGAGGUGAAAUUCGUAGAGAUCAGGAGGAACACCGGUGGCGAAAGCGGCUUCCUGGCCCGAUACUGACGAUCAUGUACGAAAGAGUGGGGAGCAAACAGG